UGAUUUGUCCUUUCGUGACGUCACCAAGAGUGGAAGGUGGGGCAGAACAAGUGAGUCUUCAGUCGUCAUCAAGGCGGUUCUUGUCGAGAGGUCUGACUUCUGCAUCCUGACGCCGUGGGUAAACCAGCACCGAAGUCUGUCCACAGCCCUCUCCAGGUAGAGGUGAGAGUCCUGGAACGUUGAAUUAGGGGUCCAGGCCGGUGGUUUAGUACUGGUCCACGACGUUGGGAUCCAGAUGACCUGAACAACCAGCAAAAGACGACUGAGGGUGAGAAAACACUUUUUGGUCUUAAACCGCCGGAAGGGUUUAGAAGAAUGCGCAAAAUAGGUUAGAAGUAGCCGGAAUUACUUCGGGAUACGCAUAAAAUAGGUUAGAAGUAGCCGGAAUUACUUCGAAAAAACACGUGAAAUAGGUUGAGUUCGCCGGAAGGAACUAAGUUUAGAUUGGUUCUAGAGGUAGCCGUCAAAUACCUCGUGACAAAUAAGGUUUAAGUUCGCCACAAGGAACUGUGUUUAGAGUGGUUUUAGAAGUGGCCGUGAAAUACUUCGUGACAAAUUGGCGCGCAAAUGUCUAUCUGUGUGUAUGUAUAUGUGUUUUAUGUAUAUGUGUUUUGAAAGUAAGUUGAUUUUACAGCACAAUACGCUGCUGAACUACUUCCAUUGUUUGUUUGUUUUUUAUUGUUUUCUUUGUCUAUCCUGCAAAAGCUCAAGUACUGGUGAUAAAGG